GAUGAAGAACGCAGUGAAAUGCGAUAAGUAAUGUGAAUUGCAGAAUUCAGUGAAUCAUCGAAUCUUUGAACGCACAUUGCGCCCGCCAGUAUUCUGGCGAGCAUGCCUGUUCGAGCGUCAUUUCAACCAUCAAGCCCCAGGCUUGUGUUGGAGCCCUGCGGCUGCCGCAGCCUCCCAAAACCAGUGGCGGGCUCGCUAUCACACCGAGUGCAGUAGUUUACUCUUCGCUCAGGGCGUGUGGCGGGUGCUAGCCGUGAAACCCCCAACUUCUCAAGGUUGACCUCGGAUCAGGUAGGAAUACCCGCUGAACUUAAGCAUAUCAAUAAGCGGAGGA
rnacentral:misc_RNA from 1 species